UUUCAUAUAUUCAUUUAAUUGCUUCACUUCUAUCGUCAACUAAUCUGUUCACCACAUUUUCCAUUAUAAACCAACAAGCAUCUAUACAAACAUCCCUACUACACACUUCCUAAAAGAAGAAAAAGGGAAAGAAUGAAGAGAAAUUCCAACAGCGUGGCUUCUCCUUGUCGGAUCAGCUUCGAUCGAGACGAAGAUGGAAGUUCAGCACUGCACAAAGAAGGCAAGCACGAGGUUGACCACCUGCAAACUGCAGAGAGAGGGAGAGAGUGGCAUGCACCCCAGCGGGCGGAAGCUAUAGCUGGCACUGCGUGUUGUAAGACGCAAUGCGCAACAUUUUGCGGAGGCCUUCGUCGCUUAUCGGUCAGGAUAUCUCGCGUGAACCAGCCCGAAUCAAAGUGAAAUCCAUAUUGUCACUCAAAUCGGACAAACUGUGCGCGCUAUACUUUUUCUUUUUCCGGAGCGAAUCCAUGCUUCAGUUUACGAACCCAGUUGAGGAUGGCUUUUCCAGGUUUGUCCCGUAAAGCAAAUUUUCCACGCAACAGAGUAACAUAAAUAAUUUUCAUCCAAAAAUGAGAACAUAUUCCAGUCUCGUACAAAACAUGGCAAUUGAUCCAGAUUGUCAGCGAAGAGAUUAAUCGAUCGGAACCCUGUGUUCAUACAGGAUUUAAUUACAAUCUACAAUUUCAAAUAAAAUGGGGAUGUAAGGCCGCGUUCACGACAUCUUUCUGGGUAAACGCACGCUCUUUGGAACGAUUCGAUAAAUCGGAACGAGGAUAGGCAGACGGGCGGCAGAAUGCGGCAUUGGCGAAAAAUCGCGUCGAAAAAUUGGCAAAGCAGGGCGACUUGUCUGUGCAUUUCGGUCGAAAGUAAUCGUCCAACUAUCGUGCAUUCGUUUUUUCUUCCCCUGGCAUCGAAUCGAUAUCGUACCAUCCGCGCGCGAUCGAAAACCUUCCUGGCUUAUCGUAAAAACACCCAUUCAAUCGUUAGUUAUCAAAGUUAAAUUCAAUUUAGAAUUCACAAUUUUAUCCCAUUUUGAUAAGAACAGAGAAAUCGACAGAAUUAGGAUAAAUAAGUGAAGGAAAACGACGAUUCGAAACGGAAAGUUCGUGCACCACGUUUUUUUAUGAAACGAUAACUUAAAUUAUUUUCAUCCACAAUUUGAACUAUUUUUAUUCAUAUACUUGUAAAGCUGUGAGUAAAUCGAAUAGAUUUAGAACAAUUUAGAACAAAUAGAAAAAGAAUUUAAAAUAGAGAUUAUUUGUUAAAAUAAGAGAUAGCAAUUUACUGCACUUUUGCGUUUGAGAUUAUUUCAAUUUCGAAUAUUUUAUGAAAAAGUAUUGUGCUAAGAGAAAAUUUUGAUAACAAUGACAAGCGAAUAAUGCGUGAAACACAAGAAUGUAUUUUAAGAACUUCAUAUGUUUUCUUCCAUCCGUCUUCACCCAAUAAUAAUGCCAUACUGGUCCUCAUAAGUGCACACAGGUGUGAACAUGAGGUAAGUACGCUUUAGUUUCGACAAUAAUAGUCUCUACCCUGUUUAUGAUUCAUUAGAAGUAAAAAGAGCAAUGUACUUGAUGGAAGUGGUACUUUAUCCUUUCGAGGAACAACUGCAGCAAGAACCGGAGUCAUUCGAAUUAAAGUGAUUUAUAGAUCUGAUCGUAUACAUCAUAAC